GAUGAACGCUGGCGGCGUGCUUAACACAUGCAAGUCGAACGGAGAUCGCUUUGACAGAGACUUCGGUUGAAGUCGUUGUGAUCUUAGUGGCGGACGGGUGAGUAAUGCGUGGGUAACCUGCCUUAUACUGGGGGAUAACAGCCGGAAAACGGCUGCUAAAUACCGCAUAAGCGCACGGGGACGCAUGUUCCUGUGUGAAAAACUCCGGUGGUAUAAGAUGGACCCGCGUUGGAUUAGCUAGUUGGCAGGGCAGCGGCCUACC
rnacentral:rRNA from 1 species